rnacentral:tRNA from 1 species
GCGCCUGUAGCUCAGUGGUUAGAGUGCUUGUUUCCUAAGCUGAAGGUAGGUUUGACCCUCACCUGGCGCG